GAAACGACUGCUAAUACCGCAUAAGCCCACGGCUCGGCAUCGAGCAGAGGGAAAAGGAGUGAUCCGCUUUGAGAUGGCCUCGCGUCCGAUUAGCUAGUUGGUGAGGUAACGGCCCACCAAGGCGACGAUCGGUAGCCGGACUGAGAGGUUGAACGGCCACAUUGGGACUGAGACACGGCCCAGACUCCUACGGGAGGCAGCAGUGGGGAAUAUUGCACAAUGGGGGAAACCCUGAUGCAGCGACGCCGCGUGGAGGAAGAAGGUCUUCGGAUUGUAAACUCCUGUUGUUGAGGAAGAUAAUGACGGUACUCAACAAGGAAGUGACGGCUAACUACGUGCCAGCAGCCGCGGUAAAACGUAGGUCACAAGCGUUGUCCGGAAUUACUGGGUGUAAAGGGAGCGCAGGCGGGAGAACAAGUUGGAAGUGAAAUCCAUGGGCUCAACCCAUGAACUGCUUUCAAAACUGUUUUUCUUGAGUAGUGCAGAGGUAGGCGGAAUUCCCGGUGUAGCGGUGGAAUGCGUAGAUAUCGGGAGGAACACCAGUGGCGAAGGCGGCCUACUGGGCACCAACUGACGCUGAGGCUCGAAAGUGUGGGUAGCAAACAGGAUUAGAUACCCUGGUAGUCCACACCGUAAACGAUGAAUAAGAGGUGUUGGAGGAUUGACCCCUUCAGUG
rnacentral:rRNA from 1 species